UUCCGGUUGAUCCUGCCGGAGGUCACUGCUAUCGGGGUUCGAUUAAGCCAUGCGAGUCGAGAGGGUUCAGACCCUCGGCGGACUGCUCAGUAACACGUGGAUAAUCUGCCCUAUGGUGGAGGAUAACCCCGGGAAACUGGGGAUAAUACUCCAUAGGUCAGGAGUACUGGAAUGUCUCCUAACUGAAAGUUUCGGCGCCAUAGGAUGAAUCUGCGGCCGAUUAGGUAGUUGUUGGGGUAACGGCCCAACAAGCCCGUAAUCGGUACGGGUUGUGGGAGCAAGAGCCCGGAGAUGGAAUCUGAGACACGAUUCCAGGCCCUACGGGGCGCAGCAGGCGCGAAAACUUUACAAUGCAGGAAACUGUGAUAAGGGAACCCCGAGUGCCCGUACACGCGGGCUGUCCCGGUGUUUAAAACACAUCGGAAGAAAGGGCCGGGCAAGACCGGUGCCAGCCGCCGCGGUAAUACCGGCGGCUCGAGUGGUGACCACUUUUAUUGGGCUUAAAGCGUUCGUAGCUUGAUUUUUAAGUCUCUUGGGAAAUCUCACGGCUUAACUGUGAGGCGUCUAAGAGAUACUGGGAGUCUAGGGACCGGGAGAGGUAAGAGGUACUUCAGGGGUAGAAGUGAAAUUCUGUAAUCCUUGAGGGACCACCGAUGGCGAAGGCAUCUUACCAGAACGGCUUCGACAGUGAGGAACGAAAGCUGGGGGAGCAAACCGGAUUAGAUACCCGGGUAGUCCCAGCUGUAAACGAUGCAGACUCGGUGAUGGACUAGCUUAAUGCUAGUCCAGUGCCGCAGGGAGGCCGUUAAGUCUGCCGCCUGGGUAGUACGGUCGCAAGACUGAAACUUAAAGGAAUUGGCGGGGGAGCACCACAAGGGGUGAAGCCUGCGGUUCAAUUGGAUUCAACGCCGGG
rnacentral:rRNA from 1 species